rnacentral:rRNA from 1 species
UACGUAGGUGGCAAGCGUUGUCCGGAUUUACUGGGCGUAAAGAGCGCGCAGGCGGUCGUUCAAGUCGCGUGUGAAAGCCCCCGGCUCAACUGGGGAGGGUCACGCGAUACUGAUCGACUCGAAGGCAGGAGAGGGUAGUGGAAUUCCCGGUGUAGUGGUGAAAUGCGUAGAUAUCGGGAGGAACACCAGUGGCGAAGGCGACUACCUGGCCUGUUCUUGACGCUGAGGCGCGAAAGCCAGGGGAGCGAACAGG